AGACAGGAGAGAGGUAGGUGGGUGAAGUGGUGUUCCAUGAAGAUGUCGUCGCGUGACUAGGCUACAUAACAGAGGUGAGGUGGUGUUCAUGGUCAGCGGAAGCACUCUGACGUCUCAUAUCCUCCACCCCUGAUUUCCGUUCCGUGGCCGAUUGAUUUCCGUAAAUUACGGAUCGUAACACGCUCUGCGGCGCCCGCCGGCUUGUCGGGCACGGCCAGUCCCGCGGCCCGCGGCUUGCUUCUUCUGGUGCCCAAAUGGCCUGCAGACGGCAAGAUGAUUUCGUUCGCACGUGAAGCUGUGGCUGUAUGCCCCGUCUGGUUUCCUGUACAACGAGAUGUUACAUGUGAUUUUUGCGGAGUAAGCAAUUCGAUGUGUGUGUUUUUCGCCGAAUCAGUAGUUGCUAGACUUGGACCGAGUCACGUUGUUGGGCCAAGCGUGGAUCUGGGAGUAUUAGUUCCCUGAAUGGUGAUUUUUGGGUAGCUCCGUUCGAAGAUUCGUGCCAGGAGCCCCUUUUAAGUUCACCUCUGAUCUUCGGUUCUCGAGAAUUUCUCCGAUCUGAUCCCCCAUCGCUGUUCAUAUAAUUUUGGUCUCACACUCCCGGAGUCCGGAGAGAAUUUGUGAUGGCGGCCGGCGUCAAAUACGCCCAGGCGCCCGGCAGGGCUGACAGCGAGAACCUCAUCUCCGGCAGCCGCUUGGGUUCGAGAGUUCGCAAAGCGGCAAAGCGCCCACCUUGCUUCAGCUGACGUCGUGACGUUCUUCCACGGACCUGAUACCAAGCGAAGCUAUAGAAAUCUAUUAGCUGAAGAAGAUAUCAGCGAGCGGGAUUUAAGUGUGCACUACAUGGAACCUGUGUAAUUAGAACGUCAGGAAACGCUACAAAUAUUUGCAUAUUGUCAUGCUACUGAUGGAGAAUUUCCCACAAGAAGACGAAGAGGAAAUUUCCAGAUGUUCAGCAGCGAGAUAGGACUUUCAGUGCAAUUGAACAACAAUGUUGAACGGUCUGA